UUCAAGUGGUCUAAACUUUUGAUUAUAUAUACAAAAGGAAAAGAUUCCUUUAUUAUUUUAUGAUUAUUUAAUUACAAAUACAAUACAAGUUGUUGGGGCUAUUCAAGGAACUAUCCAAAGUCAUUUUUCUGGUGUGAAGAGAAAAUUGAGUUCCAAAAAAGACAGAAAAUGAACAAGGGUACUCUUUCACUAUUGUUCCUUAUCUUAUUGAUCCAACUACAUCUAAGCAAAACAACUUCAUUGAAGAUAGGAGGUUGUACCUCAGAGGAUUGCCUCAUCAACAAUGAUUUGGAAUCUGAAUUCCUGAUGAGUUCUCAUGUAGCAAGGAUGCUUUUGAAUCAGGGUCAAACUCAAACAGGUAAAACAGCUAACAACAAUGGUGCUGCUGUUAACUGUCCAAUUGUUAAAGGCUAUCGUACUUGCUUGCCCUCUCAAAAUGGAGGUGGACCUAACAAUAGAUGUGGUACUUUCAAUAGAGUUUGUUAAGAAAAUUCAGAUCUUGAUUUAUCUUUUCAUGAUGUUUUGUAAAAUUGUAAUAAUGUUGGACAUGUUUCUGUUUCUGUUUUAUAUUAUUGUGUGACUGUGUUGGAUUUUUUAUGCAAAGAUGUAAAAGUUAUAUGUUAAUUACAUAUAUGUGAAUUUGUAUUGUUGUCAAUAAAUUGAUUGUUGUUGAAGAACGGGAUUUCAGAUCAGCAUCUGAAAUGGUUUCAUAGCUCAUAGUGAUACCUGUUUUUUUUUUUAUAAUUUUAUAUUGUUGUCUCAGGAGUAAAUUUCAGAGUAGAUUCAACUUCAAGUCUUUGUUUUGAUUUGAUCUCUUAAAUCUUAAAAAGGUUUUGCUCAUAAAUUAAACAAGAUAAUCAUUGUGUCUGAUGCUGAGUUUGUGGCAAAAUUCACAGUUUUCCAAAACAAGGUUGAAGACAAUUCUGUCCAAUUUGUCAAGAUACAUUUAACUGUUAUAGCUCAUGGUAUGUACUAAUCAGAGUCUUAUCGACAUUCCUGUCAAUGGUUCUUAUUACACCUGGUGCAAUGGCCGAUCUAGAAUUAAUAUUGUGGAAAGAAAGCUUGACGGAAUCUUUUGCAACCAAAAUUUGUUGAUUGCUUGUAACUCAAUUUCGACCUUCACUCUUCACAAGCUUAGGUCGGAUCACCAUCCUAUUUUACUUGAUGUCAAGUUCUCUGUUCUAUUUUUUCAGGCUCUAUGUUUGAUAGAAUAUUAGAUAAAAUUUCCAGGAUGACGGGCUUCUCCAAAGGAUCUAUUCCUUUCACUUAUCUUGGUCUACCUAUUUUCAAAGGAAGAGUCAAAUCUUUUCAUCUUCAACCUCUUGUGGAAAAGAUUAUUCCUAGGUUGUCUAAUUGGAAAGGGUUUUUAUCAUCUAUGAAUUUAAAAUCGGUUAUUCAGAGCAUGUUUACUCACUCUAUAUUUAUUUAUCCUUGGCAUGUUUCCUUCAUCAAAUGAAUUGAAAAAGUCUCUCUGAAUUUUAUUUGGAGUGGGGAUGUUUCUAAAAGGAAGCUUGCCACGGUGGCUUGGAAAAAAAUGUGUACUCCAACCUCCAAUGGGGGUCUUGGUUUGAGAUAGUUACCUUGAAUGAAGCUGCUAAUUUCAAGUUUGGUUGGGAUAUGCUGAAUAGUGAUGAAUCAUGGGUUAUCAUAUUGAAAGCUAGAAAUUCAGAGAUCUUUCGAUAUCAUUAAACAUUAUAUUUUCUCUUCUGUAUGGCAAGGCAUCAAGUCUGAAUUACAGCUCCUCAUCAGUCAUUAUUCGUGGGUUUUGGGGAAACACAUUCAACUUUGGAACGAUUUAUGGUGCGACUCUCCUUUGGUCUUGGAGAGUAGAAAGGAGACUCUGAUUUCUCAAGGAAUUAACUUAUAUUCAAAAGUCUCUGAUUUUAUUCUUGAUGCUAAAUGAAGUCUUCCUUCUUGGAAAUUUCUUUUUCUCACCAAUAGAUUGCCUAUUUUUCUUGCCUCGGAGGUUCAGGAAGUUGAUAUAUUAAUUUGGCCCAAUUCUAAUUAUGGGUCCCUCACCUUGAAGAAGGAUGCUUAUCUUUUCAAGUCCUCCCCCAUUCUUAAUUUGCAUUGGGAUAAAGAGGUUUGGUGUAAGGAUAUUACCCUUUCUAAGUGUAUUUUGGUUUGGAUGUUGAUUCACCAAAAGCUUCCUACGGACAAUUUGCUCAAGGAUCGUGGCUGCAAAUUUGCUUCAAUUUGUUGCUUUUGUAGAUCCAAUGAAGAAUAUAUUAAACACUUGUUAUUUGAUUGUGCUUUUGCCAAAAGCUUAUGGAAUUGGUUUGGGAAAAUGGUUAACCUCUAUACUCGGUCUUUUGAUUUGGAAGACCUGUUUCUUUUUUGCACCCAUGGUCCAGGUAGAAGAACCGAGGAACUCGGAGCGGGACAAUGCGGAAUUUCGACAAGCAAAGGAGUGAAAAAACCCCGAUACAGGAGGCCUGACACGGCCACCCGUGUCAGGCAAAAAGAGCUUGCAAAGAAAAAAAAACAGUAGCCUCACACGGCCACCCAUUUCAGCUAACACGGGUCGUGUCAGGAAGCAUCCCCAGCCGUGUCAAGGAAGCAUUGGGCGUGCCAUAGGAAGUAGUAGGCUGACACGGCCACCCGUGACAGCUGAGACGGACCGUGUUAGCCCAGGAUCAAAAUUUGCCAUUUUCAUCGGGCUUGCAGAGAGAUUUUUGGACAUGUCCACCUGUUGCUUGGAAUUUUCAUUAUAAAAGAGGACCUCCUACCUAAGAAAAGAUCAUCUUGGAACGAGGCAAAACACAGUAUUGUCAAGAAAUCAAGUAUUAUAGAGAGUAAGGACUUCUGAGAGCUGAAGGUUUUCAUGAGCGGAAGCGAUUGAAGAUCGAAGUCAUCCAAAUACUUGUAAUGUGUAAUUUUUAUCUUGUAUUUGUUUUGAACAAUAUGAGUAGCUAAACCCCCCAAUGCUAGGGGGUGUCCCUGAUUUAGAAUUGUAACGAAAUUGAGUAUACUUUUGCAUUUAUAAUAUUAUUCUUACGGUAACCUUUUGAUGUGUUUAAUGCUUUCUCUUUCUGACCAAUUGAGAUUUUUUUAUGGUUAUCAAUUAGGCUGGACCGCCAUUGAUAA